rnacentral:rRNA from 1 species
AUUGAACGCUGGCGGCAGGCCUAACACAUGCAAGUCGAGCGAGCGGCGGGCGGGUGAGUAAUGUAUGGGGACUGCCCGAUAGACGGGGAUAACUACUGGAAACGGUGGCUAAUACCGCAUACUAUCGGAUAACCCAUAGGGGAUUAGCUAGUGGGUGGGGUAAAGGCUCACCUAGGCGACGAUCCAUAGCUGGUCUGAGAGGAUGAUCGGCCACACUGGGACGGAGACACGGCCCAGACUCCGACGGAGGCAGCAGUGGGGAAUCUUGGGCAAUGGGCGAAAGCCUGACGCAGCAAGGCCGCGUGAGUGAAGAAGGCCUUAGGAUUGUAAAAUUCUGUCGGCGGAGAGGCGUUACCUAAAGAGAAAGCACCGGCUAACUCCGUGCCAGCAGCCGCGGUAAUAC